UCUAGAAGCUUCGGCAAUGGGCGAAAGCCUGACCGAGCGACGCCGCGUGCGGGAUGAAGCCUCUUGGGGCGUAAACCGCUUUCGGCUGGGAAGAAGGUCCGGAUGGUAAGUUCGGGCUUGACGGUACCAGAAGAAGAAGCACCGGCUAACUCCGUGCCAGCAGCCGCGGUAAUACGGGGGGUGCGAGCGUUAUUCGGAUUUAUUGGGCGUAAAGGGCGCGUAGGCGGCCGCGCAAGUCCGGUGUGAAAACGCUACCGCUUAACGGAGCGAUUGCAUUGGAUACUGCGUGGCUUGAGUGCAGGAGAGGUGAGUGGAAUGGGUGGUGUAGCGGUGGAAUGCGUAGAUAUCACCCAGAACACCAGUGGCGAAGGCGGCUCACUGGCCUGCAACUGACGCUGAGGCGCGAAAGCGUGGGGAGCAAACG
rnacentral:rRNA from 1 species